rnacentral:rRNA from 1 species
GGAGUUAGCCGGUGCUUCUUCUGUGAGUGAUGUCCUUCCUGCCGGUUAUUGACCCGCAGGCCUUCUUCCUCACUGAAAGUGCUUUACAACCCGAAGGCCUUCUUCACACACGCGGCAUGGCUGGAUCAGGGUUGCCCCCAUUGUCCAAUAUUCCCCACUGCUGCCUCCCGUAGGAGUCUGGGCCGUGUCUCAGUCCCAGUGUGGCUGAUCAUCCUCUCAGACCAGCUACGGAUCGUCGCCUUGGUGAGCCGUUACCUCACCAACCAGCUAAUCCGACAUAGGCUCAUCCGAUAGCGCGAGGCCCGAAGGUCCCCCGCUUUCCCCCGUAGGGCGUAUGCGGUAUUAGCCUGGGUUUCCCCAGGUUAUCCCCCACUACCCGGGCAGAUUCCUAUGCAUUACUCACCCGUCCGCCGCUCGCCACCAGGGAGCAAGCUCACCGUGCUGCCGCUCGACUUGCAUGUGUUAGGCCUGCCGCCACGCGUCAUCUGAGCAGAAUACAACUACUGA